UACGAAGGGGGCUAGCGUUGCUCGGAAUUACUGGGCGUAAAGGGCGCGUAGGCGGAUAGUUUAGUCAGAGGUGAAAGCCCAGGGCUCAACCUUGGAAUUGCCUUUGAUACUGGCUAUCUUGAGUUCGGGAGAGGUGAGUGGAAUGCCGAGUGUAGAGGUGAAAUUCGUAGAUAUUCGGCGGAACACCAGUGGCGAAGGCGACUCACUGGCCCGGUACUGACGCUGAGACGCGAAAGCGUGGGGAGCGAACAGG
rnacentral:rRNA from 1 species